rnacentral:rRNA from 1 species
GCUCAAAUUUGAAAGCUGGCUCCUUCGGAGUCCGCAUUGUAAUUUGCAGAGGAUGCUUUGGGUGCGGCCCCCGUCUAAGUGCCCUGGAACGGGCCGUCAGAGAGGGUGAGAAUCCCGUCUUGGGCGGGGUGUCCGUGCCCGUGUAAAGCUCCUUCGACGAGUCGAGUUGUUUGGGAAUGCAGCUCUAAAUGGGUGGUAAAUUUCAUCUAAAGCUAAAUACUGGCCGGAGACCGAUAGCGCACAAGUAGAGUGAUCGAAAGAUGAAAAGCACUUUGAAAAGAGAGUUAAACAGCACGUGAAAUUGUUGAAAGGGAAGCGCUUGCGACCAGACUCGCCCGCGGGGUCAGCCGGCAUUCGUGCCGGUGUACUUCCCCGUGGGCGGGCCAGCGUCGGUUUGGGCGGCCGGUCAAAGGCCCCUGGAAUGUAGUGCCCUCCGGGGCACCUUAUAGCCAGGGGUGCAAUGCGGCCAGCCUGGACCGAGGAACGCGCUUCGGCACGGACGCUGGCAUAAUGGUCGUAAACGACCCGUCUUGAAACACGGACCAAGGAGUCUAACAUCUACGCGAGUGUUCGGGUGUCAAACCCGUGCGCGCAGUGAAAGCGAACGGAGGUGGGAGCCCCCUUGCGGGGCGCACCAUCGACCGAUCCUGAUGUCUUCGGAUGGAUUUGAGUAAGAGCGUAGCUGUGGGGACCCGAAAGAUGGUGAACUAUGCCUGAAUAGGGCGAAGCCAGAGGAAACUCUGGUGGAGGCUCGCAGCGGUUCUGACGUGCAAAUCGAUCGUCAAAUUUGGGUAUAGGGCGAAAG